GCAUUAGUGGCUUAAACCUAAAGCGUUGACCUUGUAAGUCAAACAUUGGAAGUUAAAAUCCUCCCUAGUGCU
rnacentral:tRNA from 1 species